GUAGCAAGUUAAGUGGGCUUGAUUAUGGAGAAAAUUUCACGAUUAAGCGUGCUUGAGCCAGAGGCGUCUUGGGAUGGGUGACCACCUGGGAAGUCCUGGUUACUGGGUGCA
rnacentral:rRNA from 1 species